UAGCGGCGGACGGGUGAGUAACACGUGGGUAACCUGCCCAUAAGACUGGGAUAACUCCGGGAAACCGGGGCUAAUACCGGAUAACAUUUUGAACCGCAUGGUUCGAAAUUGAAAGGCGGCUUCGGCUGUCACUUAUGGAUGGACCCGCGUCGCAUUAGCUAGUUGGUGAGGUAACGGCUCACCAAGGCAACGAUGCGUAGCCGACCUGAGAGGGUGAUCGGCCACACUGGGACUGAGACACGGCCCAGACUCCUACGGGAGGCAGCAGUAGGGAAUCUUCCGCAAUGGACGAAAGUCUGACGGAGCAACGCCGCGUGAGUGAUGAAGGCUUUCGGGUCGUAAAACUCUGUUGUUAGGGAAGAACAAGUGCUAGUUGAAUAAGCUGGCACCUUGACGGUACCUAACCAGAAAGCCACGGCUAACUA
rnacentral:rRNA from 1 species